CCCAAAUCAAAUCCGGCAUGACCCUAACAGGUUUACCGGAGGCUGUCCAGGCUGCUCACAUAACGUCUGUUGGGGUAAGAAGCUGCCCAUCGGGGUAAUGGAGGGACGGCCCAUUGUCUGUAGGUAAGAGACCUGCCUCGAAUCCUGUCCAGCAGUUUAGAUUUUUCUUCCCCAUCCUGCAAGAGGACCCCUUUAUCAACUUUAAGCCUUCUGUGCUUUGCAAGAGUGGGACCCGUUGGUUGCCCCCAAUUGCCCACCCAUAAUCAACAAAAGGCCCCGCAGAAUUUGGAACCAGUGCCUGAUACCAAACACCUCUUCCAACAACAGGUGCACACUUUGGCCAAGUGUAGUGAUUUG